rnacentral:rRNA from 1 species
GACAGAGGCCUCGAGCGUUAGGCGGAAAUCACUGGGCUUAAAGCUGUGUGUAGGCGGAUCGUUAAGUGCCUUGUGAAAUCCCACGGCUUAACUGUGGAACGGCUGGGCAUACUGGCGGUCUUGAGCCAUCUAGGGGCGAACUGGAACAAACGGUGGAGCGGUGAAAUGCGUAGAUAUCAGGAGGAACACCGGUGGUGUAGACGGCUUCUGGACCGUAACUGACGCUGAGACAACGAAAGCGUGGGUAGCAAACAGG